rnacentral:rRNA from 1 species
AUGCCCUUUAGAUGUUCUGGGCCGCACGCGCGCUACACUGAUGCGUUCAACGAGCCUAUCCUUGGCCGAGAGGCCCGGGUAAUCUUCGAAACCGCAUCGUGAUGGGGAUAGAUUAUUGCAAUUAUUAGUCUUCAACGAGGAAUGCCUAGUAAGCGCGAGUCAUCAGCUCGCGUUGAUUACGUCCCUGCCCUUUGUACACACCGCCCGUCGCUCCUACCGAUUGAGUGUGCUGGUGAGAUGUAUGGAUCAGGGUUUCCUGGUGGCAACACCGGGUGAUCUCGAGAAAUUCAUCGAACCCUCCCACUUAGAGGAAGGAGAAGUCGUAACAAGGUUUCCGUAGGUGAACCUGCGGAAGGAUCAUUG